AUAGCUUAUCGGGUGUGUCAGCGGAUUGAAAAUCCGCGUGUCGGUGGUUCAAAUCCGCCUCCGAGCACCA
rnacentral:tRNA from 1 species